UACGGAGGAUCCGAGCGUUAUCCGGAUUUAUUGGGUUUAAAGGGUGCGUAGGCGGCUUUUUAAGUCAGCGGUGAAAUUUUGCAGCUUAACGGUAACAGUGCCGUUGAUACUGGGGAGCUAGGAUUUGGUUGCUGUGGGUGGAAUGUGUGGUGUAGCGGUGAAAUGCUUAGAGAUCACACAGAAUAUCGAUUGCGAAGGCAGCUCACAAAGCCAAGAUUGACGCUGAGGCACGAAAGUGUGGGGAUCAAACAGGAUUAGAUA
rnacentral:rRNA from 1 species